GACGAACGCUGGCGGCGUGCCUAACACAUGCAAGUCGAGCGAGUGAAUCUCCUUCGGGAGUGAAGCUAGCGGCGGACGGGUGAGUAACACGUGGGCAACCUGCCUCAUAGAGGGGAAUAGCCUUUCGAAAGGAAGAUUAAUACCGCAUAAGAUUGUAGCUUCGCAUGAGGUAGCAAUUAAAGGAGCAAUCCGCUAUGAGAUGGGCCCGCGGCGCAUUAGCUAGUUGGUGAGGUAACGGCUCACCAAGGCGACGAUGCGUAGCCGACCUGAGAGGGUGAUCGGCCACAUUGGGACUGAGACACGGCCCAGACUCCUACGGGAGGCAGCAGUGGGGAAUAUUGCACAAUGGGGGAAACCCUGAUGCAGCAACGCCGCGUGAGUGAUGACGGCCUUCGGGUUGUAAAGCUCUGUCUUCAGGGACGAUAAUGACGGUAC
rnacentral:rRNA from 1 species